GCUGGCUUUGGCAGUGCAUGGUCGAAAUCCGGAAUGAUACAGAGAAGAUUAUCAUGUCCCCCGAGCACGGACGACUCACAAAUUCAUGAAGCAUUCCAUAUUUGA